rnacentral:piRNA from 1 species
UCAUCACACAAGGUUCUUACCAUAGGAGGG